GAGAGAAACAUCAAUGUGUGGUUGCCUCUCACACAGCUUCCCCACUGGGGACCUGGCCCACAAUCCAGGUUUAAUUGAUGUACCAACAUGGCAGUAGAUGACAGUCUUCUGAAAAGAAUCCGUGUGUAAGCUCAUAUCAGACUUUCUUCAUGAAGACCCAAUCCCUCCCUCAAGGAGCUUACCAGCUUAUGGAGAAUAAACAGGAGCUUGUGGCCUUCCACUUGCUGUCCACACCUGGUAACACAUUGAAGGACCGUCCCCUCAGCCGCACUGUCGGGAGACAGCACCUUAUUUGGUGCUGACUCAGUGGGAGCCAAGUUUCCAGCAGGCUACCAACUCACACCUGCAGAAUUUGCAGGCACAUCCGUUUUGCAAACACUCAAAAUGGGUAAUUGGGCACACAAAUGCCUAUUUGCAUUGCAAUUUGGCA